AUUGAACGCUGGCGGCAUGCCUUACACAUGCAAGUCGAACGGCAGCACGGGAGCAAUCCUGGUGGCGAGUGGCGAACGGGUGAGUAAUGUAUCGGAACGUACCUUUCAGUGGGGGAUAACGUAGCGAAAGUUACGCUAAUACCGCAUACGUCCUGAGGGAGAAAGCGGGGGACCGUAAGGCCUCGCGCGAUUGGAGCGGCCGAUGUCGGAUUAGCUAGUUGGUAGGGUAAAGGCCUACCAAGGCGACGAUCCGUAGCGGGUCUGAGAGGAUGAUCCGCCACACUGGGACUGAGACACGGCCCAGACUCCUACGGGAGGCAGCAGUGGGGGAUAUUGCACAAUGGGCGAAAGCCUGAUGCAGCAACGCCGCGUGAGGGAAGACGGUUUUCGGAUUGUAAACCUCUGUCCUUGGUGAAGAACAAAUGACGGUAGCCGAGGAGGAAGCCACGGCUAACUACGUG
rnacentral:rRNA from 1 species